rnacentral:rRNA from 1 species
AGAGUUUGAUCAUGGCUCAGAUUGAACGCUGGCGGCAGGCCUAACACAUGCAAGUCGAACGGUAACAGGAAGCAGCUUGCUGCUUCGCUGACGAGUGGCGGACGGGUGAGUAAUGUCUGGGAAGCUGCCUGAUGGAGGGGGAUAACUACUGGAAACGGUAGCUAAUACCGCAUAAUGUCGCAAGACCAAAGAGGGGGACCUUCGGGCCUCUUGCCAUCGGAUGUGCCCAGAUGGGAUUAGCUUGUUGGUGGGGUAACGGCUCACCAAGGCGACGAUCCCUAGCUGGUCUGAGAGGAUGACCAGCCACACUGGAACUGAGACACGGUCCAGACUCCUACGGGAGGCAGCAGUGGGGAAUAUUGCACAAUGGGCGCAAGCCUGAUGCAGCCAUGCCGCGUGUAUGAAGAAGGCCUUCGGGUUGUAAAGUACUUUCAGCGGGGAGGAAGGGAGUAAAGUUAAUACCUUUGCUCAUUGACGUUACCCGCAGAAGAAGCACCGGCUAACUCCGUGCCAGCAGCCGCGGUAAUACGGAGGGUGCAAGCGUUAAUCGGAAUUACUGGGCGUAAAGCGCACGCAGGCGGUUUGUUAAGUCAGAUGUGAAAUCCCCGGGCUCAACCUGGGAACUGCAUCUGAUACUGGCAAGCUUGAGUCUCGUAGAGGGGGGUAGAAUUCCAGGUGUAGCGGUGAAAUGCGUAGAGAUCUGGAGGAAUACCGGUGGCGAAGGCGGCCCCCUGGACGAAGACUGACGCUCAGGUGCGAAAGCGUGGGGAGCAAACAGGAUUAGAUACCCUGGUAGUCCACGCCGUAAACGAUGUCGACUUGGAGGUUGUGCCCUUGAGGCGUGGCUUCCGGAGCUAACGCGUUAAGUCGACCGCCUGGGGAGUACGGCCGCAAGGUUAAAACUCAAAUGAAUUGACGGGGGCCCGCACAAGCGGUGGAGCAUGUGGUUUAAUUCGAUGCAACGCGAAGAACCUUACCUGGUCUUGACAUCCACGGAAGUUUUCAGAGAUGAGAAUGUGCCUUCGGGAACCGUGAGACAGGUGCUGCAUGGCUGUCGUCAGCUCGUGUUGUGAAAUGUUGGGUUAAGUCCCGCAACGAGCGCAACCCUUAUCCUUUGUUGCCAGCGGUCCGGCCGGGAACUCAAAGGAGACUGCCAGUGAUAAACUGGAGGAAGGUGGGGAUGACGUCAAGUCAUCAUGGCCCUUACGACCAGGGCUACACACGUGCUACAAUGGCGCAUACAAAGAGAAGCGACCUCGCGAGAGCAAGCGGACCUCAUAAAGUGCGUCGUAGUCCGGAUUGGAGUCUGCAACUCGACUCCAUGAAGUCGGAAUCGCUAGUAAUCGUGGAUCAGAAUGCCACGGUGAAUACGUUCCCGGGCCUUGUACACACCGCCCGUCACACCAUGGGAGUGGGUUGCAAAAGAAGUAGGUAGCUUAACCUUCGGGAGGGCGCUUACCACUUUGUGAUUCAUGACUGGGGUGAAGUCGCAACAAGGUA